rnacentral:lncRNA from 10 species
CUUUACUCUGCGGACUCACCCUGAAUUCUUUCUUGCGCGAGAUCCUAGAAUCCUCUCUUAGGGUGUGGAUCCGGACCCCUUUCCGAUCCCACUUCCUGUCCCACCCAGCCCCAAAUGUCCGUGGAACCGGCCCCACUAACCUGCAUCCAGCUGCCUCUUCCACCUGGGCCCUGCUCUCAGAUGGAAGUGUCACCAAACACCCAGAUCGCCGUGCUCCUGCUUCUCUGGAGUGGACACAACCUGAAAACCAACUGGACUGAGCAUCCUUCUCCUAAAAUCUCAGCCAGAAGCCACGAUGGAGGGUCCUGGGAAGGGAAGAGAUGUGAAGAUUUCUGUGAUUCUAAAACCUUGGGUCUGCCUGCAAACUUCUCUCUGAUCCCAGCCGAGAGCUGUGCACACGCUAGCUAGCCCUGUCACACAAUAGCCCAGUGUUCCCGUCACAGUGCCUGGGAAUGAGAGGCUUUUGAGGCCACAGAGCUAUGACAAGUCCCCAGGUUGAAUUGACUCUGGGAGGACAAAUUUCUGAGAGACUCACGGGACCCUUAUCCAGGACAACCUCACAAAGAUCCCUGAAACUGAGCUUCCUCUGCUUCGUGCAUAGUUUGAGGUAUAAACUUUCCUUGUGUCUCGGUCAGAUGAAGUGAAGGAUGAAUAUUAUCCCAGGCUAAAGUAACGAAAAGUCCAGAAGCCAGCGAUGACAGAGAUGUGUGUGGAAGAAGGCUGUGAGCAUUUCCAUCAAACCCUGUGAGUUUCCGAAGAUCUUAUCCCGAAGAUAUGUGUUUGGCCAAUAAAACACUGAAUAAAAAUCCAUCAUGUUUCCAGAGCCAAGUCGACUUCUGCUGGGCUGGGGUGAGGCAGAGGCAGAAUCAGACCUUAUAAAGAUGUUUUGAAUAGCGGCUGUUCUGGGAUCGCAGCCCAGUGACAGUGAAUGCUUUCUGAGUUCUCGGAUGAGAAGGAACAGAGUGACAGACUGACCAUAACUGGCCACUGUGGUGUGUGCUCAGCUCCAGACCAGCACCUUAUUUGGUGGGGGGAGAGGGUUCAAGGCCCCAGCGAGACAGUGAGUCCUGGUAGGGAAGGAACUCUGGCCAAGCUGCAGGCUGUGCAGUGGAGUGGGUUAGGAGGGGCCCUCGGGGAGGGAAGAACAAGGAGAGAGGGAAGUGAGAGGAAAGGAGGUUUCUCCUUCAUCUAAAUCCCAAGUAUACACCCUUCUAAGGCGCCUGGCCUCCAUCACAGCAUGCCCACUCUGUGCCCGCUGCAACCUCCUCUGACUCUCCCACUAGACCGGUGCCUGGUACACAUGCUCCUGCGUGCAUGAACAUCGGUCAGCUAUGGGUCCUCAAGAUGACAAAACCCCCUGCUCCUGUGUCCUCACGGGGAUCUGCACCAGCACUGGGCUGAACACUCUCCCUGCAAUCUGUCAGUCACGUCUUCUGUAGCAUUUUCUUUCUGGCAACAACGGUUGGGGUCAUUAAAAGUGUCUUUGAAAUGCAACCUUUUAAUUACAGGAGGAAUACUGCCCCUGGGAAGGGGCCUUUCUUCAAAUGCUCCAGGAAUUCCUUGGCCAAUACACUCCAGGGGGAACACAGCCCAAAACGGGCCUGUGGCUGUGAUCAGACCCAGGCAUCCUGUCAAAACAGGAGCCUGGGAAGGGGAAGCUCAGGGAAGGAAAG